AAAAAUGGCGGAUGUGAGUGCUGAGUCAAACUGCGGAGUCUGUUGUAAGAUAGUUAAAGAAAAUGAAAGUGCAUUAAAUUGUGAAGGUUUGUGUGCGAACUGGUAUCAUAUUAAGUGUAUCAACAUUGUAACAAUAGAAUAUCGAAAAAUAUGUGAUCUUGGUGACAAAGCAGUGUGGUAUUGUGAGGCGUGCAAGGGAAAGGUAAGAGAUAUCAUAUCUAAGCAUGCAAAGUUUGUGUCUAAAAAGGAUGAAACCAGCCGUUUGAACUCAAACAGUGACGAUCAUUUUAUUUUAAGUGAAAUUCUUGACGAGAUGAGUAAAAUGAAUAAGGAUUACUUGCAAUUGAAUAAGCAUGUUGAACGAAUUGAAUCAAGUGAGGUUAUGUGCAAACAGUUACAUGAACAUUCCCAAGUUUUACAUGUUCAAGAUGCGAAUGAAAAAAGUGAUGACGAAGUUAUUUCAAACUCCCAUGUUAACAUUUUCUCAAGUAGAAUGGAGUUGUGUGAUUUGACUAAUGAUAAUGAAGACGAUGAACAUACAAAAUGGAAACUUGUAACUAAAGGAAAAAAUAGUAAUUCUAGAAAAAACACCUUAUCUAAAUCAAUUCCAAAUGUCUUUUUAUCUUGUGACUCAGCUAAUGUACAGGGAUUGAAGAAAAAUGACAGGCCUAGUGCGAUCUCUACCAGGACGGACUCAUAUUGUGCUGCUUUAUUAAAAAAGCCCAAGACUACUAUUAUUGGCUCCAGAAAAAUUUCCCCCUCCAAACCUGGUAUUCUACCCCUCAAGACAGUGGAUAGGAGAAAAUCAGUUUUCGUCUCUAGGCUGCACCCUGAGGUGGAGGUAGGGGAGCUUGUGAAAUAUCUGACUGAAUCUGGUAUGGAUAAAUCUGAUUUUGACUGCUACAAACUGAACUCUAAAUUCAAUACCUAUUCAUCCUUCAAGAUAGUGGUUACUGAUAGGCUGCUUGAGUGUGUCAUGGCUUCAGACUUCUGGACCGAUGGAAUUUUGGUGAAAAAAUUCAUUCCAUCCAAGAAGCCUAGGGAUCAAUCAAGUGCUUUUUUAGGCCAACCAAGCCGGGCUGCCCGGGUCAAGUGACACUCAUGAAUGAUGGGAGUAAGGCUGUUGAUUCUACCAUUGAUGUUUCUUUCGAUUUGCUUUUUUAUAAUGUCCAAUGCCUUCGAAAUAAGGUGAAUGAGUUGGAAUUGAUUGUCAGCACGAGCAGGAGGUACAAAAUACUGUGUUUGUCUGAACACUGGAUGUGCCCUGAGGAGCUUAAACUUUUGAACAUCUCUAACUAUAAGUUAGCUGCUUUCUAUAGUUGAAAGCAUUGUCCUGUAUGGCCUCACGCUUUGGGGUGGAGCCACAGAUGUUUCACGAGUGUUGCUCAUUCAGAAGAGGGCCCUGAGGAUCCUUUG
rnacentral:misc_RNA from 1 species